UGGGGGGUGUCAUCCCGAAGCAACCGGGUUUCCUUUUAUGCCUAAGUUAAUUUUAUUCAUCAUAUGUUGAUUGUGCAUUAUAGGAUUAGUAGAAGUAUAUUUUCAUUCCUUGCAUGCUUACUUAGUAGUGUAGCGGUAUGGACCUAACACUUGGACUAGGGAGACAUGAGGAUUGGGUCUUGAGACAAAGAAUCAGAUAGUGGCAAAAGUGAUGAACUUGGACAUAGGCUAGUAGAGGGGCAUUGAACUAGUGUAGUAGAAACACUAAACAAGAACGAGUGGCAUGUCAAUUAGCUAGAAAACUUACUACAAUGAUCGAACGAGUGGCAUCGGGUCUAGUGUAGUAAACAUGACAUGGUUCUAGGGAUAGUAGAGAUCCCGGCAUCUAGGAUGCAUUGUAUAUUGUGCAGUAGAGGCACAUUGACCCUAGUAGACAGGGUAUCCUCUUGUGAGGAUUGGAUCAUACUCAUUAGUCUGUUUUUGCUUGUCGGUGGUCGCUCCACCGAGGCACGAGUCUCUGGAGUACUUCACUAGGGGCAGACGUAGUUGUCCCGCAGACGGUCUCGUUGUGUGAGUGCAGUUUCUCCUCACCUAUGAGAUUGAGAGUGAGUCGAGGGUUUAAGCUACGGGUUAACCAAGUGGAUUGGGUAAUAAACAUGAAAUGCAUAGUAGACUUGCAUUAUUACCUUGAGUAGACAUAGUGUAUGUUGUAGAUUACAUUGCUAUGCAUCUUUAUAUACUCAUGACAUGAUACUAGCAUGAUAGUAAUUGUUGCAUGCAUUAUUAUCAUUGAUGGCAUGAUAGAGUAGUCGCAGUUUACUUUUAUCUAUCUAUCUAUCUAUCUAUCUGUGCAAGCUUAGACCUAGUGAAAAAACCGGCGGCGUCGGCGGCCGAACCCACUGGGAACUAUAUUUAUAUAGUUCUCACCCCGUGCGGUUUUGGGGUAUAGGUACACAUAGAGGCGAGUCGAGCGAGGAUCGUGGCAAGGGCAUAGCGCCCUAAGUGAGCCUAGUUAGUAACUUUUCCUUUAUGCAUUAGAGUACCCUCGUGUACUAGAAGAUGUUUUGGAUAGUUAUUGGAGAGCUACUUGUAUUUUGAUGAAAACAUGUAUUCACAUUUUGGAAGAUGAAAAUGUAAAUAUUGAAUGGUUGAGAUAGUUAGACUAUCUCUCUUUAUACACUUGUAUACCACUUGUGGUUCUUGCUCUUAGUUACUUGGCACUUGUGUGCCUUAGUCGAUCAUGUAUGUAUUGAAUUUAUUCUCCUGGGCAAAUUCUUGUACAUGAUUUGGGGGUUUAGCCUUGGGCGGACAGGAGAGGUGCUGUCCGUUCGGCGGUCUAUCCGGCGCGCCCGAACCGUGCCAAAUUGGUAGUGGAUUCGGAGCGGGGCGUGACAAGAGUUGUUGGUAUCAGAGCAAUUAAGAGCAAGUAAAGAGAGAGUCUAGGAUGGACCUAAGAGACCUUGGGACGGUGAACCCUAGGAGUGUAUAGGUACGUGAGAGAAACGAAAACCUAAAUCGGUUGAGGAAGAAUCCGAUUGGGUUGGAUCGAGCAUAGAUCUCUAGUGUGGCUAGAGAUAGAUCCGAGCGGUGUUAGUUCCGAGCUCGAGGAGUUUGUGUUGGCGGCCGACAACACGACGCUAAGAGUUAGGACUAAUACACUAGUGUACGUCCGCUUAUGGUGGAGUUGAGUCGCAUAAUAUAGUGUAUGCGAUGGAGUUAAGUGGGUUAGGUUGGAUCGAGUAUAGAUCUCUAGUGUGGCUAGAGAUAGAUCCGAGAGGUGUUAGUUCUGAGCUCGAGGAGUUUGUGUUGGCGGCCGACAACACGACGCUAAGAGUUAGGACUAAUACACUAGUGUACGUCCGCUUAUGGUGGAGUUGAGUCGCAUAAUAUAGUGUAUGCGAUGGAGUUAAGUGGGUUAGGUGACUAACCCGAUUGUUGCGUUGUAGGAACAAUGUCCCCAAGACGGUACGUGCGUAGGUCCGUUCCGGCACCAUCUUCUGAGGUGCCCGAGCCGGAUCUAGUGAGGUACAGGAGUUACGGGCACAGGUGUCGGCAUUGACCGGUAUUGUACAACGCCAGGAGAGUCGAUUUGAGCAGCUCCAAGGGCUUAUGGAGCUGCAUUUUGCGGCGGCAACUGCAGCUGCGACUGAGGGCCGUGAUCCGCCCCCGCCUCCAGCUCGUGCGCCUACAGCGGCUGAGGGCGAGGGCAUUGCGGCAGUUCCGGUGGCGGCACGUCCUCCGCCGGCAAGCUUUCCUCCGGCGGCGUCGGGUUCCACGACACCCGAUGCGACGGCAUUAGAGGCGGAGAGGGAGCGCGCACUUGCGGCUCUCGAGAAGUUCCGAAGGUUUAAUCCACCGACCUUCGAGGGAGAGAAGGUCGAGCCGUGGAUGGUUGAGUCGUGGGUGGACUCAAUGGAGACCUUGUUUGAGGAUCUCUACACGUUGGAGAGGGACAAGGUCUACCUCGCCACUCAUUGUUUGGAGCGGACGGCGAAGGUUUGGUGGAAGCGAAUCAAGAGGAACCGAGCUUUCGACCUUCCGCCGUUGACAUGGGAGGAGUUCCGGGGGUUGUUCUAUGUCAAUUACUUCCCCGAUAGCAAGAAGAAAAAGCUCCAAGAGCAAUUUCGAAAAUUGAAGCAAGGUGGUCGCACGGUAGCGGAGUAUGAGCGGGAGUUCUCUCACAUCAUCGACUGCGUCCCCGACGUAGUGCGGGGUGACAGGGAUCGAGCCGAUUGGUUCGAGCCAGGGCUCCGGGCGGAUAUCUACCGGGCGGUGCACAUUUUGAAGCUCACUACCUUCGCGGAGGUGCUCGAUCGAGCGUUGUGGGCGGAGCAAGGAAACACUCACAUCCGGGAGGAGCGAGAAGCGUCCGAGAAGGACGGUGGUAAGAAGCGGGCUCAGAGUAGCUCGGGAGCUCAAACUAAGUCAAAGAGGCCCCCGAAGUACCCCCGAACGCAAUCCAAGGGCCGCGGACCGCAGCGAUCCACAAUCUGUGGUGGAAACCACGAGCCUAGGACGUGUGAUCAAUGGGAAGGGAAGUGCUUCACGUGUGGACAGGCGGGCCAUAUCAGCCGCCAUUGUCCAGUAAGGGCUUUGCCUGCCUCUUCGGUCGCGUCGGCUCCGGCGACUCCGGCACAUUAUGGAGGAGUUCCAUUUGCUGCGUAAUCGGCUUGACGUGCGAUGGUACCAGGCCAAUCUAAGGCGACGAGAUCGGCUCCGAGCGGGCGGGUGUUCGCCGCUCCAGGGCCAUGUUUGAUACAGGUGCUACGCAUUCAUUCAUUAGUAGGUCAUUUGCACGCAUGCAUGACAUAGAACUACAAGAGAGUAAAAGCACUUGGAGGGUAUCGGGCCCCGGACGUGAUUUUCUAGUCCGGAUGGAGUGUUCGUCUUGUCCAGUGCGAUUGGGUGAUUGGGUAAUGCCCAUCCGUAUGUUGGUGUUUAAGAAGUUGAAAGACUUCGACGUCAUUCUAGGAAUGGAUUGGCUCUCGAAAUACUAUGCAACUAUUCACUGCAGAAGUAAAGUAAUAACGUUUCGAGAGCCGGGCCAAAAGGAAUUCAUCUACCGAGCCUGUAGAAGCUCGCGCUUCGCUGCAAUGGUGUCGGUGACGAGGGCGAGGAAGUUGAUUAACAGCGGUUGUACGGCCUAUUUGGCGACCGUUGUAGAGGUCGAGAGGACGACUCCGGCACUCGAGGAACUAUCCGUGGUCCGAGAGUUUUCGGAUGUGUUUCCCGCGGAAUUACCGGGAAUGCCGCCAGACCGGAAGAUCGAGUUCGUGACAGAAUUGGUUUCGGGAACCGCGCCUAUCUCGAAGGCUCCGUAUCGGAUGGCGCCGGCGGAAUUGAAAAAAUUGCGGGCUCAAUUAUUGGAUCUCCUUGAUAAAGGGUUUAUACGGCCAAGUGUAUUGCCGUGGGGAGCCCCGGUCCUAUUCGUGCGAAAGAAGGAUGGAUCGUUUCGGCUCUGCGUAGAUUAUCGCGAGUUGAACAAGGUCACGAUCAAGAAUAAGUACCCGUUGCCGAGGAUUGACGAUCUGUUUGAUCAGUUGCAAGGGUCUCGGGUUUAUUCAAAGAUUGACCUGCAGUCCGGUUAUCACCAACUUAAGAUCAAGCAGGAAGAUGUGCAAAAUACCGCGUUUCGCACGCGGUAUGGACACUAUGAAUUCACGGUCAUGCCGUUUGGGCUUACUAACGCCCCGGCAGCGUUCAUGGAUUUGAUGAACCGUGUCUUCAAGGAGUACUUGGACCGAUUUGCCGUGGUCUUCAUAGACGACAUCUUGGUCUACUCGCGUAGCGACGAGGAACAUGCCGAACAUUUGAGAAUAGUGCUUCAAGUCCUUCGGGAGGAGAAGCUAUAUGCUAAGUUUAAGAAAUGCAACUUUUGGCUCCGAGAGGUUGCAUUUCUUGGGCAUGUUAUUUCCGAAGGUGAAGUAUCUGUUGACCCGAGGAAAGUGGAGGCGAUCAAGGAUUGGCCUCGCCCGACUAACGUCACGGAAGUUCGAAGCUUCGUGGGUUUAGCGGGUUAUUAUAGACGGUUCGUGGAGGGAUUCUCGAAGAUCGUGGGUCCACUUACCCGUCUGACUCGGAAAGGCGCCAAGUUCAUUUGGAACGACGAGUGCGACCGGAGUUUUCAAGAGUUGAAGAAUAGAUUAACUUCGACUCCGGUGCUCGCCUUAUCGGUGCAAGAUGAAGACUUUGUGGUGUAUAGCGACGCGUCACAUUCGGGCUUAGGGUGUGUUCUGAUGCAGGGCGAGAAGGUGAUCGCUUAUGCGUCCUGUCAGCUGAAAAGCUAUGAGAAGAACUACCCUGUUCACGACUUAGAGUUGGCCGUAGUAGUGUUAGCUCUCAAGUUAUGGAGGCACUACUUGUAUGGCGCGCGUUGCGAGAUAUACACGGACCACAAAAGUUUGAAAUACCUUUUCACACAGAAGGAGCUCAACAUGCGGCAGCGGCGGUGGUUAGAAUUGCUGAAGGAUUUCGAUAUCACAAUCCUAUACCACCCCGGAAAAGCAAACGUGGUGGUCGACGUGCUUAGCAGGAAGUCAGUGGAAAAUCUUGCUAUGUUGGUCACACGCCAGGAGCCACUGUGGAGAGAGAUGGAACGAUUGGAUCUCGAGGUGGUAGCUCCGAAAAUCCCGUCUAUGCUUAUGGCUCUUGUUGUCCAACCGACCUUGUUGGAGCAAAUUAAGAGUUUGCAAUCUGCAGACCCCAAUCUCCAAAAGGUGCGGCGAGACAUCGAGAGUGGACACGACGGUGAUUUCAGUGUAGACGCCGAGGGUGCGCUUCGGUUUCGAAAUCGAUGGUGCAUACCGAAAAUCGAGGAGGUCCGGAAGUUGAUCUUACAAGAAGCACAUCGGACUCCUUAUAGCAUUCACCCGGGCGGCACCAAGAUGUACCGUGACCUGAAGAUGCAGUACUGGUGGCCGGGCAUGAAAACUGAUAUUGGGCGCUAUGUAGCGCAAUGCUUAGUAUGCCAGCAAGUGAAGGUCGAGCGCCGAUUUUCAGCGGGAAAGCUCCAAAGUCUACCUAUCCCCGUUUCGAAAUGGGAGAAUAUUGCUAUAGACUUCGUGGUCGGAUUGCCCCGUUCGACGGGUGGCCACGACGCGAUCUGGGUGAUUGUGGAUCGUAUGACCAAGUCGGCACACUUUCUACCGAUUCACACCACCUGGUCGGGCGACAAGUUGGCGCAGGUAUACUUGGAUGAAGUUGUGAGGUUGCACGGGGUUCCGAAGUCGAUCGUGUUAGAUCGAGACCCUCAUUUUACUUCGCACUUUUGGAAGAGUCUGCAAGAAGCACUUGGCACACAGCUCGAUUUCAGCAUCGCGUUUCAUCCUCAGACAGAUGGACAGUCGAAAAGGACUACAAAUUUUGGAGGAUAUGUUGCGGGCGUGUGUCAUUGACUACAAGGGUAGUUGGGCAAACCACUUGAGAAUGGCCAAGUUCGCCUAUAAUAAUAGUUACAAAGCUAGCAUUGGGAUGACACCGUUCGAGGUCCUAUAUGGGCGGAAGUGCCGAUCCCCUAUAUGUUGGAGCGAUGUAGGUGAGCCUGCGGCAUUGGGCCCCGAUGUAUUGCUAGAGGCGGAAAGGAAGGUCCGUCUCGCUCGCGAGAGACUACUUACGGCACAGUCACAGCAAAAGAGCUAUUCUGACAAACGUCGUAGAGAUUUGGAAUUCGCGGUUGGUGACCGCGUUUUCUUGAAGGUUUCGCCGAUGAGAGGUGUGAAACGCUUCGGAGUGCUGGGAAAGCUAAGUCCCCAAUAUAUCGGACCUUUCGAGGUGUUGGAACGUGUUGGAGCGGUAGCGUACCGACUUGUAUUACCGCCAAAGCUCGCGGGUGUGCAUAAUAUGUUCCACGUCUCCAACCUUCGCAAGUAUAUUCCCGAUCCCGAGCACGUUAUGUACUACGAACCGCCGGAUCUACAGAAAGAUUUGAGAUAUGAAGAGUUCCCGACGAUGAUCAUUGCUCGAGAAGUGCGAAAAUUGAGAAACCGUGAGAUUCCCUACGUGAAGAUUCGUUGGACCGGUCACGACGAUCGUGAGGCUACGUGGGAACUCGAGGAAACGAUAAAAGUGCACUAUCCUUAUCUCUUUACAGAAAUGCAUUGAGGUAUGAGUUGAUUAAGAUAGUGAAUUCGUUUCGAGGACGAAACUCCAUUUUAGGAGGGGAGGAUGUGAGGAAGUGAAUUCUCGAAAUACGAGAGUUAGACUUCAUUCAGAAUCGACCAAGGGUCGUGUUGGUGAGCUUUGGAAAAGCCAAAGAUACUAAAAUCACCAAAAGUGCAUUGGAAGUGAGUCCACGAGAGCAAAUAGUGCAAAACUUGCACUGGAGCAAAACUGCUCUCGGGGACCGGUCUCUGGUAGGGAGGGACCGGUCCCAUUGGCUGGUGUUGCGGGGCUGCUUAAGGGAACCGGUCCCUGGUAGGGAGGGACCGGUCCCCGAACGCGAACCCAGUGAGAAAGCCAGAAAAUUGGCUAAGUCCUGAAAUCCCAGCUCUCGGAAACCGGUCUCUCAGGAAGGAACCGGUCUCCCGAGGACCGGUCUCUCUGGGAGAGACCGGUGCCCGAACGCGUGACCCGAGCUGAAGCUCUCGGGGACCGGUCCCAAGUCGGGGAGACUGGUCCCUCCGCACGUAGAAUGCCCAGUGAGGGCUGUGUAGGGGAUGAAAAGUAGAGGGGGCUGCUAGGAUAUUAUUACAUUAGAGAGUAUAGGGGACCCCCUCUCUCUCUCCAACUCUCAUUUUCUCUCCCUCUCUUACACUCUCUUGUUCCCUCUCUAUCUCUAGAAGGAAAAGAGAAGAAGAACAAGAAGGAGAAGAAGGAAAGGAAGAGAAGAAAAGGAAAGGGAAGAAAAGGAAGGAGAAGAAGAAAGAGAUCAAGAGGAAGACCUUGGACAUCUUUCCUUCCCUCUCCUCUUCUCCUUGGUGUAGCUAAGAGGUAAGCUACCAAACCCUAGCUUAUGAAACUUAGGGUUUUUGGGUUUUAGCUCUUUGGAUGGGAUCAAAUAGAUCCCUAGCACCAUGAAUGGUAAGAUUGGAGCUAGAAUCUAGGAUUUUGAGAUGGGUUUAGCUUGGUGCUAACCCUAGGGCUCCAAAAUAGGGUUUUUGAUAAAGUAUGAGAUUGAUCUCAUUUGAGACCAUGUAAACCUAAUUGCUAGGUAACGAAACGCGGGAGCGAAGUCGGAAUUUCGAUUAGUUGAGCGGAUCAAGAGCUAUCGGCAAAAUAAGGCCGAUUGAGCAUUAUUUUGGACCAAGAAGAUCAAGACUUCGUCGUAACGUUCGUUGGAGGGCAUUUCUAGAGCCUUCAUACCCUCAAGAGGUGGGGGGUGUCAUCCCGAAGCAACCGGGUUUCCUUUUAUGCCUAAGUUAAUUUUAUUCAUCAUAUGUUGAUUGUGCAUUAUAGGAUUAGUAGAAGUAUAUUUUCAUUCCUUGCAUGCUUACUUAGUAGUGUAGCGGUAUGGACCUAACACUUGGACUAGGGAGACAUGAGGAUUGGGUCUUGAGACAAAGAAUCAGAUAGUGGCAAAAGUGAUGAACUUGGACAUAGGCUAGUAGAGGGGCAUUGAACUAGUGUAGUAGAAACACUAAACAAGAACGAGUGGCAUGUCAAUUAGCUAGAAAACUUACUACAAUGAUCGAACGAGUGGCAUCGGGUCUAGUGUAGUAAACAUGACAUGGUUCUAGGGAUAGUAGAGAUCCCGGCAUCUAGGAUGCAUUGUAUAUUGUGCAGUAGAGGCACAUUGACCCUAGUAGACAGGGUAUCCUCU
rnacentral:lncRNA from 1 species